UACGUAGGGGGCAAGCGUUGUCCGGAAUCAUUGGGCGUAAAGAGCGUGUAGGCGGUUCGGUAAGUCGGCUGUGAAAGUCCAGGGCUCAACCCUGGGAUGCCGGUCGAUACUGCCGGACUAGAGUUCGGAAGAGGCGAGUGGAAUUCCCGGUGUAGCGGUGAAAUGCGCAGAUAUCGGGAGGAACACCAAUGGCGAAGGCAGCUCGCUGGGACGGUACUGACGCUGAGACGCGAAAGCGUGGGGAGCGAACAGG
rnacentral:rRNA from 1 species